UACGGAGGAUACAGGCGUUAUCCGGAUUUAUUGGGUUUAAAGGGUGCGCAGGUUGUUUGAUAAGUCAGUGGUGAAAGUCUGUCGCUUAACGGUAGGAUUGCCAUUGAUACUGUUAGACUUGAAUAUGGAUGAGGUAGGCGGAAUGUGUAGUGUAGCGGUGAAAUGCAUAGAUAUUACACAGAACACCGAUUGCGAAGGCAGCUUACUAAUCCAUCAUUGACGCUGAGGCACGAAAGCGUGGGGAUCAAACAGGA
rnacentral:rRNA from 1 species